GGAGGCAGGGCUAGUUGGGUGGGGCUAGCCAGCUCCCGGCCCCAGCCCUAAGGAGAACCUCCAUACUGUGGGAUUUUAAAAUCUUCCGCGACAAAUCUUGAAGCCGGGUCUCUAACCUCGGGUUCAUGCUAUGGCACUUAGAAGAGCAGCGUAGACAAGGUGACUUGGGCUGGAGCCCAGGCUCUGAAGCCACCCUCCUCCCCAGGCUUCAGAGAUCAAGUUCCAGCCCCAGCCCAGAAGAGUCUGCAUUGCUGUUUUGGCCCCUCAAAAGUGCCAGCCCUGGGAGCCCAAGUCCAUCGGGCCAGGCUUUCAGGCUCCUGCUGCAGAGUUUGCAACACAGGGAGACAGACCCUAAAGGGACAAGCCACCCCCUAGGACUCUUCCGUGAGGAAUUGGUCAUUGCUCUUUCCUCUCUCGAAGAAGGAGCAGGAGCUACAAGGCGGGUGGCUGGAUUCUGUUGACCUGUUCUGCUAGCAGGAGUUAGAGCCCGGCACAAAUCAAUCUGCUGAUUGAGGGGCCAUUUGUUAACUUCCCGCUGGGACCUGUUGGAAAGAAGGAACUCGGGCAGAGACAGGGAUGACCUGCAGGAAACCCUAGGAACAGGCAGGUUGGGGAGGAAGUUCAGGCUGAGGAUUCUGUUCAUUGAUUAGUCUCAGAGUUUCCAGGAAAGCCAAAGCCCAGGAAGGGAAUAAGUCUGCACUUCCGCGCCACGUGCAGGCGGUCUUUGGAGAAGGGCUUGAAUGUCACCUAUCCCCGUGGCCAAGCGAUGAAUGGCAAGGGGCUGAGCCAACCUUCCAAUCCCAUGCCAGUGUCCCAGGAAUGGUUUCCAAGUAGAGGAACUUCUCCCAUCCCCCUCUCUGCGCAGCAUCCCCCUGCCCCAUUGCGGGAGUCUCUUACUUUCUCCAUCUUCAAAAGAAAAGCAGACUU